GACGAACGCUGGCGGCGUGCUUAACACAUGCAAGUCGAACGGAAAGGCCCUGCUUUUGUGGGGUGCUCGAGUGGCGAACGGGUGAGUAACACGUGAGUAACCUGCCCUUGACUUUGGGAUAACUUCAGGAAACUGGGGCUAAUACCGGAUAGGAGCUCCUGCUGCAUGGUGGGGGUUGGAAAGUUUCGGCGGUUGGGGAUGGACUCGCGGCUUAUCAGCUUGUUGGUGUGGUAGUGGCUUACCAAGGCUUUGACGGGUAGCCGGCCUGAGAGGGUGACCGGCGACAUUGGGACUGAGAUACGGACCAGACUCCUACGGGAGGCAGCAGUGGGGAAUAUUGCACAAUGGGCGGAAGCCUGAUGCAGCAACGCCGCGUGCGGGAUGACGGCCUUCGGGUUGUAAACCGAUUUCGCCUGUGACGAAGCGUGAGUGACGGUAAUGGGUAAAGAAGCACCGGCUAACUACGUG
rnacentral:rRNA from 1 species